rnacentral:lncRNA from 1 species
UAAAUUUAUUAGAAAUAUUUCAAGGCCAUGAUGUAAAUAGAUUACAUAUCUGAUAGAAUUGGGAUAUCUUUAAGUGAAAUUUCAUGACUACUUGUCAUGAACUUUCUUUUGUCCAAGUAAGUCAAAAUUAAAAGUAGAAUCUUUUAGGACCGUUAUAAAAAAGCUUUAGAAAUAAUUGCUAAGACAACUGUGGUAGCAGCAUAGAAGAGUUAUGUAUGUUUUGCACAGGGCAAUGAAAGACUUUUGAAAACUCCUUGCUCAGUACCCAGCAGUAUUACUGAAAUUUUGUCUCAUAUUCCUUAAAUGCUGCCAGUGGGAGGGAACCUGCUUCCUGUGAUUGUUUUUUUCCCCUUUGAAUGGGAGCGAUGGAGCACUUGCAUGAUGUGUUUGGUGCCUUGCAUGAAAAAGACAUGCAAAGGCAAGGUCUAGUCUGCAUGCUGCUUAAUGAAUGUUUUUCCUUUUCUCUCCCUCCUUGUCAUGUGCUUUCAGAAGACAACAAUGUGGAAGGUCUGGCGCACCUGAUGAUGGGCGACCAAGGUAUGGGCUCUGUUCCUUUUCCACUCUGCUUUCAGUGUUUUCUUGUUCUCUAGCCGCUUUCAAACCAUUGCUGCAAAGGNNNNNNNNNNNNNNNNNNNNNNNNNNNNNNNNNNNNNNNNNNNNNNNNNNNNNNNNNNNNNNNNNNNNNNNNNNNNNNNNNNNNNNNNNNNNNNNNNNNUUCAGUGUUUUCUUGUUCUCUAGCCGCUUUCAAACCAUUGCUGCAAAGGAUGGGCAAAUGCUUGCAAGUUAUCUGGCUGCAAAUAAAAUGCAUAAAUUUGUUCACAUUUUUUCAUGUGUUUUUCUCCCCUUUAUUUGUUGGUUUGGUAUUGGUUUGCUCCUUUGACUUUUAUUUUCCUUCAUUCUUGCACUAUAUCUGCAAAUAAAUGAGACAUAAGAACUUGUAAUUGAGAAUUUCCAUACGUUUAUCAGCAUAUGCAGUUAAAGGUAGUUAUAGUAAAGAAAAUCAGAGAGCCAUUAAUAUAUGAAAGAAGAUACUUGGUUUAAUGUACUGCACCAAAAAGAGUCCAUUUUUCACCCAUGCAUGGCAGUUUGGGAACAUAUGCAGACAUCUUUGGCUUCUGGCUUCUUGAAUGCUGAGUAUAGUGUUCUACAAAAUCAAUACUUUUUCUACCUACAGGCAUUGUGUAUCUCCUUUUGUGCAGUCUUUUAAAGUGAGCAUGGGCUUUCUAAUUUCCUUGCACGUAUUGCCUUAAAAAAAGGCAGAUUUCUCAACAUGUAUUGAUUAUAUCUCCAUUUGUUUUCAAACCCUUAUUUAUACCUUCUUGUAUAUUUAAUUUGCAAAGAGUAGUACAUUUACAUAUAUUCAUAAUUCUUAUUGUUGUUUCUCUCCUCUUUAUUCUCUUUGUAUGGAAACCCUUUCUUCAUGGAACCAUUUCAUCAAAUCCAUAGGUAAAAGUAAAGGUAUUACAUUAUUUUAUUUCUUCUUAAUAUCAUCCAUAUGAAUAAUAGUGUGUCUAAGUUAUGCAAAUAUAUUUAGACCUUUUGGCAUUAGUAAUGGGCACUGGGAGGUAGAUGUGAGUGGUAAUGAAUAUUUUAUGAAUUUAAGGUAAGAAAAAUCCAUCAAAAUGUUUCCCUCUGUUUUUCUUGCUCUUUAGAGUGUUUUUCUUUUUUUUUAAUGUCAGCAGCUUAUAUAAUUAGCAUAUUUAAAGAUUAGUUACAGGUUUCAGUGUCAGUUUUUGCAGUAUCAUUUAAUGGUAGUUAAAUAAUGAGUGUAGCCACCAGAAACAUAUCAUCCUCAAAUAUUUAAUUCUGGAGUACACCUGCACCAGCUAUUCUGCCUAAGAAUGUAAGUCAAAGCAUGUGCAGCGUUGAAAUGGUACUGCUGCAGGCUCAUCAGGCUGUGGUCUUCUAGAUGUUAUAUAAACAUGUUGACUCCAUGGUAGCUCUAAAAGGUAGUGUCAUAAGAGAGAUAAAGGCUCAAGACAAGCCUGCUCUUUCUUUUGUGGAUACUAACUUUGUUUUAAGAACAUUGUCAACUAGGUAUACAUUUCUGCAUCCCUUGGUAAGUCAGGCAUGUGUAUUCUUUGUCAGUAUUGGUGCCAAAUUUAAAAGCAUGCUUAGUUUGCCAUUUAGAACCAUCCACGUUGUGUUUAAUGUUUUCAUUAAAAGAAAAUAGAUGAUAUGCAGCUGUGGUAAAUAUAAAUAUGUCUCAUAGCCUUUA